rnacentral:lncRNA from 1 species
UAUAUAUGGUCCCGCUACUAUACUAUUAUGAGUACGAUCGCCCUCGUACUCAUAAGUUGUUUUCGAUGAUAGAGCUUCCAAAUCAACGAUCCACACCGUUAAACGUUAUUUACAGUAUUUAAAAUUUUUAAAAAUCAAAUUUUAUAAUUUUUCGACAUCAUUUACCUUACGAUCAAGAGGUCACAAAUUUGACAAUUUUUAACGGCCGAUAUGGAAUACUUGCUAGUUUAACGGUGUAAAAGAAUCGAAAUUUGUUGAAUUUUUGAUAGAAAAUUUUAUUCACUACAUAGAUAAAGAUCAAUAACUCCGAUCUUGAAUUAAAGGAUCCGAUCAUCCUUUUUUAGGAUGUCGUUCGAUUUUGACCGUUCAUUUUAUGCCCACUUGAUGGACUUUAUUAUGAUUUCGAAAAUUUACGAAAUUUAUUUUCUAGAAGUUUUAAAUACUCUAGAUCAUAUUUAACGGAGUGGAUCGUCGAUUCGGAAGCUCCAUCAUUGAAAACAACUUAUGAGUACGAGAACUCCAAUACUCAUAAUAGUAUAGUAGCCAUGGCAUAUAUAUAUAUAGAAUUAGGCUGGAAUGCUAUUGAUAGCAAAAGAUGCUUUUUGCUAUCAAGUUUUUAACCCUUAGAUGAGAAAUUGUAGAGUCAGGAUGAUAUUAGUUAGUUAGGAUUGAGUGGUCCCCUAGGGUUGAGAGGUUCCCACUGGGUUAUAAUAUUUAAUUCAAUGGUUAGAAAUAAUGAAAGGAGUUGAUCCAAAGGCUAAAAACUUGGUAGCAAAAAAAAAGCCUUUUGCUAUCAAUAGUAUUUUGGCCCAACUAUAUAUAUAUAUAUAGAGUCCGGCUACUAUGCUAUCGGUAGCACGGAGCGCUCCGUGCUACCAAGUUGUUUUCGAUGAUGCGGCUUCCAAAUCGACGAUCGGCUCCGUUAGACUUGAUCUACACUAUUAAAAGUAUUUGGAAACUAAAUUUCAGAUUUUUUCGACAUCAUUUGACACGUGAUCAAAAGAUCUCAAAAUUAAUAAUUUUAAAGGCCGAUGUGGUGUGUUUGUGAGUUUAACGGUGUAAAACAAUCCAAAUGCGAUGAAAAUUUUAUAGAAAAUUUUUUUCACUAUUUAGAGUAAGAUCAGUAUAUCUGAUCUUGAAUUUAAAUCUUUUAUCAUCAUUUUUCAUGAGAUUUUUAUUUUCAGCCGUUCAAUUUUAGACUACUUGUUUGAUAGGUAAAUGAUAUCGAAAAAUUAUGAAAUUUAGUUUCUAAAUACUUUCAAUAGUGUAGAUCAUAGUGGGCUGGGUCGUUACAUUUGGUAUCAGAGCCGGUUCACCAGCUGGACAUGUGUGGCGAGUCUCGGCUGAGCCAGGGUCUGGAUGACGGGCUAGCGAGACGAGUCUCACAUCGCCUGGUGGUGAUCUUGGGCUGAGUGUGUGAUUGGACUGACGAGGACGUCAGGGCCUUAACGGGGGGAGUCUGUGACACCCCAAUAGUCCCACAUCGGAUGGGAAUGGGGUUGUCAUUGGGUUUAUAAGAGACUUAAACACUAGUAAUAAUAACUGGGCUUAAGCAUUUUGGGCCGGUGGUUUGGGCCCAACGAGUUAUUGUUGCUAGUGGGUUGGGUCGUUACAUUUGGUAUCAGAGCCGGUUCACCAGCUGGACAUGUGUGGCGAGUCUCGGCUGAGCCAGGGUCUGGAUGACGGGCUAGCGAGACGAGUCUCACAUAGCCUGGUGAUCUUGGGCUGUGUGUGUUUGGACUGACGAGGACGUCAGGGCCUUAACGGGGGGAGUCUGUGACACCCCAUUAGUCCCACAUCGGAUGGGAAUGGGGUUGUCAUUGGGUUUAUAAGAGACUUAGACACUAGUAAUAAUAACUGGGCUUAAGCAUUUUGGGCCGGUUGUUGGGCCCAACGAGUUAUUGUUGCUAGUGGGCUGGGUCGUUACAAGUCUAACGGAGCCGAUCGUCGAUUUGAAAGCCGUAUCAUCGAAAACAACUUGGUAGCACGGAGCGCUCCGUGUUACCGAUAGUAUAGUAGCCUAGUUCUAUAUAUAUAUAUAUAUAUAUAUAUAGAACUAGGCUACUAUACUAUCAAUAGUACCAACCCCUUGGUACUAUUGAGUUUUCGGCCGUUGGACGAAAGGAUGUGCGGUUAGGAUAAUAGUGAUCCCUGGUUAAAUUGAUAGUGGUCCCUAGGGUUGAGUGGGUGGUUGGUUUAAUAGUAUAAUCUAACGGGUGGAAAUGAUCAAGGGGUAGAUCUAACGGUAGAAAACUCAAUAAUACCAAAGGUUUUGUACUAUCGAUAGUAUAGUAGCC